rnacentral:rRNA from 1 species
GAGAAGACUUCAGAUAUGAUCCAGAGUACCACGGGACACGUGAAACCCUGUGGGAAGCAGGAGGGACCACCCUCCAAGGCUAAAUACUACCUAGUGACCGAUAGCGUAUAGUACCGUGAGGGAAAGGCGAAAAGAACCCCGGGAGGGGAGUGAAAUAGAACCUGAAACCCUGUACUUACAAGCUGUGGAAUCACAUUUCUUGUGUGACUGCGUACUUUUAGUAGAACGGGCCAACGCGUUCCGUUAAGUAGCAAGGAUAAGCACCUAAGGUGUGUCGCCGUAGCGAAAGCGAGUGUUAACGGAGCGUUCAGUUACUUACGUAGACCCGAAACCGGGCGACCUACCCAUG